rnacentral:rRNA from 1 species
UCCACGCAGUAAACGAUGAAUGUUAGUCGUCGGGAUGCAAGUCAUUUCGGUGAUGCAGUUAACACAUUAAACAUUCCGCCUGGGGAGUACGGUCGCAAGAUUAAAACUCAAAGGAAUAGACGGGGACCCGCACAAGUGGUGGAGCAUGUGGUUUAAUUCGAAGAUACGCGAAGAACCUUACCUAGCCUUGACAUUGAUAGAAUCUUCCAGAGAUGGAGGAGUGCCUUCGGGGA